rnacentral:rRNA from 1 species
CACCAGCGCCACAAGUGGUCAUCGCGUUUAUUGGGCCUAAAGCGUUCGUAGCCCGCUUGGUAAAUCUCUUGUGAAAUUGUUCGGCUUAACCGAACAGCGUGCAGGGGACACUGCCAGGCUCGAGACCGGGAGGGGUCAGAGGUAUUCUAUAGGGACCGGUAAAAUGGGAUAAUCUAUAGAGGACCACCGAUGGCGAAGGCAUCUGACCAGAACGGAUCUGACGGUGAGGAACGAAAGCUAGGGGAGCGAACCGG